rnacentral:lncRNA from 1 species
CCCGGGGCAGAUCUGGGGGGUCUCAGGGCAGGUGUUGGGGCCCCUGGGGCAGAUCUAGGGGCCCCCGGGGCAGAUCCGGGGGGCCCCGUGUGGGGCCGCGCCGCGCCGGGGGGCCUCGUCUCACCCCAUCUCCCCCCCAGGGCCGGGGGCUGACGGCGUCGGGGGCCCCGAGAUGGACGACGGGGGGGCGCUGGGCCAGGCCCCCCCGGAGCUGCUCCGCGACGCCAGCGCCCCGGGGUUCCCACUGCCCGGCCCCGAGGAGCCCGGCAUCCCCCCGGCCCGGGGCGGCCGUGCAGGUUCCUCCCGCUCGCCGUCCCCGUCCCCGCCAUCCUCGCCGCGGGGCGGCCGCGCCGGAGCCGGAGCCGGAGCUGUGUCCGGAGCUGGAGCUGUGGCC